UACCAGACUCCUACGGGAGGCAGCAGUGAGGAAUAUUGGUCAAUGGGCGAGAGCCUGAACCAGCCAAGUCGCGUGAGGGAAGACGGUCCUAUGGAUUGUAAACCUCUUUUGCCGGGGAGCAACGGGGUCCUUGCGAGGGCCCGAUGAGAGUACCCGGAGAAAAAGCAUCGGCUAACUCCGUGCCAGCAGCCGCGGUAAUACGGAGGAUGCGAGCGUUAUCCGGAUUUAUUGGGUUUAAAGGGUGCGCAGGCGGAUUUUUAAGUCAGCGGUCAAAUCGUGGGGCUCAACCCCAUCCAGCCGUUGAAACUGGGGAUCUAGAGUGUGCGAGAGGUAUGCGGAAUGCGUGGUGUAGCGGUGAAAUGCAUAGAUAUCACGCAGAACCCCGAUUGCGAAGGCAGCAUACCGGUGCACAACUGACGCUCAGGCACGAAAGCGUGGGUAUCGAACAGGAUUAGAUACCCGUGUAA
rnacentral:rRNA from 1 species